rnacentral:rRNA from 1 species
CAUGAAGCUGGAAUUGCUAGUAAUGGCAGGUCAGCAUACUGCCGUGAAUACGUUCCCGGGCCUUGUACACACCGCCCGUCACACCAUGAGAGUUGGAAAUACCCGAAGCCUGUGAGCUAACUUAAAGAGGCAGCAGUCGAAGGUAGAGCCAAUGAUUGGGGUGAAGUCGUAACAAGGUAUC